rnacentral:lncRNA from 1 species
UUCAGAACCGGAUCUAGAUCCAUUGAUUGAAUUAACAAUCCUUUGUAGUUCCUAGGCUCACAUGAAUAUUUAAAGCAUGCACAAUGAAUAUUUAAACAUAUUAUGUAUAAAUAACUAAAAACUUCUCUAAAUAAGUGAUUUAUUGAACAAAUCCUUCUACGCGAGUAAACAAACCUCCCGUUUCCUCUAGAUACAGAUCUAGGGUCACGUGGAUGCUAAAUAUUUACAAAAACUAGAAAUUAAACUAGAUCUAUACAGAUCUUAGCCAUUCUAGCUUCCAGGUUCAAGUUUUAUAGUUUUGAACUGGUUAAAAGCUAGAUUUGUCUAGAUCUAGUACAGAUCUAGUCAAUACAACACAAAUAUUGACUAUUUACAUAAAAUUAACGUUUAAAAAACAAGAUCUAUGCCAUAUAGAGGUAGAUCUGUAUUUAUAUAGUAAAGCACGAAAAAGAAGUGAAUCUAAAGAGAUCUUACAGUUUGGCACAAGCUUGGCUAUUGAACGACUUUUGGCUCCUUUAAACUCGAUUUCCACCUGUUAAAACUUGAUAUGGUUUUAGUAUAUAUGUAUAGAAGUGUUUAUAGAAGAGAUUUACAAAUUUUAAGAUGAAGAAAUGCUACCUUUCUAUUUUAGACCCUCAAAUUUCUCUAUCCAGAAAGUUGUCAAUUGAAUUUUCUCUCUAAAAAUGAGCUGGGGGCUGAUAUUUAUAGCCCGGCCAGCCGCGAGUCUGCCUGCGGUAGCUACAGGUAGACUUGCGGUAGCCACAGGUAGACUUACGAUAGCCGCACCUGCGGCUGGGCCUGGUGCGCCUUGCUGCCUCGAAGUAUAUGGACCUUAAUCUACGCGUAGGCUGUUUAAAACUUUGAUAACUUGCAAUCCGGGAAUCCUAUGGAGAUGUGCCAUACCAUUCUAGAAAGCUCUUUUUGAGAGCUACGCAAUGACAUAGGGCUUGUCCUUUUCUAAAUUGGAGAAGAUUGGUCCAUAACCAGAAUAGAAUCUUGAAGUCUUCGAAUGUAGUCCGUUAAGCUGUCUUGAGUAGCUCGCACUUGGGAUUUCUAUAAUGGCUCUUAAUAACCAUGUUUAUAUCUGGAUGUUUGUGGUUUUAUGUUGAGUUGUCAACAUUCAGCUUUUCCCUCCCGAGGUUUUCCCUAGGGUUGAGGUGACUUUUGGCUGUUCUUUAGGGCUGUCUCCGGGGUUCGAUUGCUAUUAAUUUUUUCUUUCCUCGGGGUUGUCUUUGAGGUUGAUUUGAUGUCCCACGGUGCUAUUUUCGGCAUUUGAUUUGAUAUCCCAAUGGGCUGUCUUUGUGGUUUGAGGUUUACUGUAGUUCUCAAGGGCUGUCUCCAGGGUAAAAAAUAUGCUUUUGCCUUCUUACAUGGUUAGUCCAAGGAAAGAAAAAAUUUGAGUGUUUACAUUGAGUUCAUGUAAUAAUCCAUAAAUUGGCAGUUGUUGUUAGUACGUUAAGAAACGAAAAGAAUGCCAGUUAAAUAAACUAAUUUGGUUGAGAAACAAAUUUGUGGUGAGGUGUUUCGCUAAAAGUGUUGAAUUGUGGAAAACUAUCUUAUACAUGUUUUCAAUUCUUCUAAUUUGAUUAUUUACGUUGUUUAGUUGAUUAGAAUCAUGUUAUGCGUGUUUGGUAUUAAUUCUAUGAAGUUUAUAACAUUUGGGUAUGCUUAGAUUUCUGUUGAUAUAAAGUUUUUGGAGGUUUUGGUUCGCAGCAGUGCAGAAAGCAGUCUGCAGAAUUGAGUCUGCACACCAGCGCGACCAUGCUGGUGCCAAGGCUAAAAUAGGGCGCGAUCGUGCUUACACCAGACAGAAACUCUGUUUUUUUUUCAUUCCAUAGAAUGUUAAUCUAUCCUUGCCUAAUGAACAUAAGAAUGUGUUAAUCAUAUAGUAUAGUGUUGUAGCAAGUUAUUAACAUGUGUAUAAUAAUUUUAAGUUAUGAAUUAAUAAGUUGUAUAAGGACUUAAACUUGUUAUUCGUGAGGUUUUGGUUAUGACGUUUAAAUGUUAAUACUUGUGUUGUAUGCUUGUAGAGAGUUUAGAUUCGUGCUAUGUGAUUGGUUAGGAAGUUCAGAUUAUGAACUAAGUUACUAAGUUAUAUUAAAGUGGAAAAUUAAAUCAAUAAACAUAGUUUUAAUGUAACUAAUGGAUGUUGCGAUUCUAAAUGAUAUAUGUAGGAUCAUUGGAGAACAAGUUAUAAUUGUGUAGCUAACGUGCGAGGAAAGUUCUCUAACCCUAAUCUUUUAAUGAACAAGUUUCCUAAUCUUAACUUGUUACUAUACGUAAGUUUCUUGAUUCUAUUAUUCAAUUGAGCGAGUCCCUAAUCUUUGAUAAUUUAUAAUUCAGCGAGGUUAAUUAUGUUGUUUCAAUGCCUAUGGUUUUAAAUAAGCUUUCUAAUUCUUCUUGAAAGCAAUACUUCGUUACAUGAUGUUUAUUCAAUUGAGAUUCAUUGUGACAUUAUCAUUUCUAAAAUACCACUUUACAGUGUUAUUUUGAUAUCGAACUCAUGAAUGAUUAUCGAAUCCUUUUUUAUUCAACUAAUCCUUAGUUGAUGAACGUUUUAACAUCCAAAUUACCCUUGAAUCUAAUCCAAACCAAACUUCCUUUGCUGCGGAUUAUAAUCUCAAAACUGAGAUGAACAACCCUAAUGUAGUGGAUUAUAUUACGCAAUAACGUUAAAAUGUUUGUGCAUAAUACAUUGUACGAAAGGGCUGAUCCCCCUGAGUAUGAGAAAAAAGGUCUAUAUAGUCUAAUGACUGUUAAAGGUAUAAGUAGAGAUACUUGAUAACCUAGGACAUUGUUCAUGGUCUUGUGACCCUUAGAUGUACUCUUGAUCUUGAUUCAAAAGGCCGAGUUUUUAAUGAACGUCAAGUUCUUGAACAUCGUUAUCAUGAAAGAUUACAUUAUUUAGUUGAGCUUUAUUCAUUGACUAUUCCUAUGGUACAUUUAUUGUUGCUAUACUUGUGGGCAAUUGUUUGCUCACCCUUGCAUAAAAACAUUGCAGCUAAAGUUGAGAAAUCUGAUCAGCCGUCCACUAGUAAGGGCAAAGGCAAGAUGAACAAGUGAUGAAGAUUAGUUUACUUUUAUUUGAUAAAGUUUAUGUUAUAAUAAUUAUUUAAAGUAUGUUAUGUUUUCCGCAAAUGAUGUAAUAAAGGUUAGAAAACAUGGGAUUUAUUUUGAGACCUUGUAACCCUUUUAUGGGAGGAUUAUUAUUUAAGUUAUGAGUUUUAUUUAUAUCUUUUGUUUAUGGGUAGAUAGAUGUAAUUUUAUUAGACAAUGAACACCAAAUCUGUGGGAUUUAAGUACCCAGAUUUGGGAGUGUCAAAAUGGGUCCAUUACCAGAAUAGCAUCUUCAAGUCAUCGUAGGUAAUCCGUUGAGCUGUCUUGCACAUUUUGCACUAGGGAUUGUUGCGACAACUCCUUGUGACCUUAUUUGUAGCUGGAUAACUAUUAUUUAUGUUAUAUUUUAAACAUUCCCUCUUUGCCCUCCCAGGGUUAUCUCCAGGGUUAAUAUGGCUUUUGGUUGUCCCUCAGGGUUGUCUCCAGGGUUUGACUGUUGUUGAUUUUAUCUUUCCCCAGGGUUCUCUCUAAGGUUGAUUUGAUGUCCCACGAUGUUGUCUUCGGGGUUUGAUUUCAUAUCCCACGAGGCUGUCUUCAUGGUUUAAGGUUUACUAUAGUUUUUCAAGGCUGUCUCCAGGGUGUAAAAAGACGUUUCUACCCUCCAGCAUGGUUAGUAAUAGGAAAACAAAAUUUUGAGUGUCUACAAAUGCCCCUCUUUAUCAUGUUUAUGCAAUGUAAUGAAAUGAACAGGAUAAAGAUUAUUAGACACUUGAAAUAUGACAAAAUAUGAUGCAAUGUUAUGCAACAUGAUAUGAUGUCAUGGAUGUGGCGACCCCAAAUCCGGAUACUUGAAACCCGAACUCGGUUCUCCACGAUACCAUUUCUUUAAGCUGAAUAAUCCUAAAUAAUAAUACAUUCGAACUUAAUUUACAUACAUCAAAGUUUACUACCCCAGGUACGUGACCUUCAAAUACAUUCCUUACAAUAUCUGACAAUAGAUUCCAUUGUCUUACUAACUAUAACCAUUAACUCAUACUAAAUCUCAUUCGAAUAGCUUUUCUUUUCCCUUGUUCGUGCCUGAGCUUUCAGGUCGAUCGUACGUAACUGAAAACAUUUAGUUUAAGCAAGGAUGAGCAUUUGAGUGCCCAGCAAGUAAUAGCAAUUAUAUAUAUAAGCUGAAAGAAUAUAAGUAUUCUCUUU